GAGAUUGUGGCUCAGCAGUAGAGCGCUCUCCUAGCACGUGGUGAGGCUCUGGGUUCGAUUCUCAGCACCACA
rnacentral:tRNA from 1 species